CUCAUCUUUAGUAAAUUACUUCUCAAUCUCUCUCACCCUCAGUAACCCUCUCUUAAUGUCACUCUUAGGGUUUCCCCACUCCGAACACUAAGUUAACACGAGGAUGUCAAACACAUCUUCUUCCCGAUUUUGACUCCAAACUUCAUCCCAACACUUCUAUGGUGAGCCAAAACAAUGAGAACAUGCAUGAGUAAAUGCAUACAAUAGAGCACCAUAUUGCUGAAAAGUUACGAAAAAUCAAACUUGAUGAUGAUCAGCAGCUCUGCACCAUAGCUUUACAAGAACUCCAGUUACCAUCACUAGAGGAGCCUCCUUGUUCCUCCUGCCAUUUCUGAUCCUCAUCUAAAAUCUUCUCGAGCUCGAUUGGCUGGCAAGGAAUCAUAAGGGCACCAUCAUGGUCAAAACCAUACUCCUCAGCCGCUUGCUCCAACAGCUUCAGAAAAGUUGGGUGUGUCAAGUAACUCAAUGCCACAACAAACCUUUUUGGUUCAUCUCCAUCCACAGCUAUCACUGCAAAGUGGCCCUCCUUCACAUCUUCUGGCACAUUUUUUGAGUCAUCAAAGUUGGAAUUUGAUGAUGAUUUUGAUCUACCCAAUGAAAAACUUCUUUGUAGCUUUUCAACUACAAAUUUGAGCUUGACAAUGCUCUUCUUCUUGUAAGUAGUACUUGUAGUUCUAGACUUAGCCAUGAAUAGUGCGCUUAUUCUAUUUUCUUUUUUG
rnacentral:lncRNA from 1 species